rnacentral:rRNA from 1 species
GCGGCAGGCUACACAUGCAGUCGACGCUCUCUUCGGAGAGAGUGGCAGACGGGUGAGUAACGCGUGGGAAUCUACCCAGUGCUACGGAACAACACAGAGAAAUUUGUGCUAAUACCGUAUACGCCCUACGGGGGAAAGAUUUAUCGGCAUUGGAUGAGCCCGCGUUUGAUUAGCUAGUUGGUGAGGUAAUGGCUCACCAAGGCGACGAUCAAUAGCUGGUCUGAGAGGACGAUCAGCCACACUGGGACUGAGACACGGCCCAGACUCCUACGGGAGGCAGCAGUGGGGAAUAUUGGACAAUGGGCGAAAGCCUGAUCCAGCCAUGCCGCGUGUGUGAUGAAGGCCCUAGGGUUGUAAAGCACUUUCAACGGUGAAGAUAAUGACGGUAACCGUAGAAGAAGCUCCGGCUAACUUCGUGCCAGCAGCCGCGGUAAUACGAAGGGAGCUAGCGUUGUUCGGAAUUACUGGGCGUAAAGCGCGCGUAGGCGGAUUGAUCAGUCAGGGGUGAAAUCCCGGGGCUUAACCCCGGAACUGCCUUUGAUACUGUCAAUCUAGAGUUCGAGAGAGGUGAGUGGAAUUCCGAGUGUAGAGGUGAAAUUCGUAGAUAUUCGGAGGAACACCAGUGGCGAAGGCGGCUCACUGGCUCGAUACUGACGCUGAGGUGCGAAAGUGUGGGGAGCAAACAGGAUUAGAUACCCUGGUAGUCCACACCGUAAACGAUGGAUGCUAGCCGUUGGGCAGUUUACUGUUCAGUGGCGCAGCUAACGCAUUAAGCAUCCCGCCUGGGGGAGU